rnacentral:rRNA from 1 species
GACGAACGCUGGCGGCGUGCCUAAUACAUGCAAGUCGAACGCAGUGGGGACGGGUGAGUAACACGUGGGUAACCUCCCAUCAGAGGGGAUAACCCUUGGAAACAGGUGCUAAACCGAUACUGAUGGAUGGACCCGCGGUGCAUUAGCUAGUUGGUGAGGUAACGGCUCACCAAGGCCACGAUGCAUAGCGGACCUGAGAGGGGGAUCGUGCACACUGGGACUGAGACACGGCCCAGACUCCGACGAUAGGCAGCAGUAGGGAAUCUUCGGCAAUGUACGAAAGUCUGACCGAGAAACGCGGCGGGUGUUAAGAAGGUUUUCGGAUCGUAAAACUCUGUCGUUAGAGAAGCGGUAUCUAACCAGAAAGCCACGGCUAACUACGUGCCAGCAGCCGCGGUAAUAC